CGGAGGGUGCAAGCGUUAUCCGGAUUCACUGGGUUUAAAGGGUGCGUAGGAGGGCAGGUAAGUCAGUGGUGAAAUCCCCGAGCUUAACUUGGGAACUGCCGUUGAUACUAUCUGUCUUGAAUGUUGUGGAGGUAAGCGGAAUAUGUCAUGUAGCGGUGAAAUGCUUAGAUAUGACAUAGAACACCAAUUGCGAAGGCAGCUUGCUACACAAUUAUUGACUCUGAUGCACGAAAGCGUGGGGAUCAAACAGGAUUAGAUACCCUGGUAGUCCACGCCCUAAACGAUGGAUACUCGACAUCAGCGAUGCACUGUUGGUGUCUGAGCGAAAGCAUUAAGUAUCCCACCUGGGAAGUACGACCGCAAGGUUG
rnacentral:rRNA from 1 species